GAGAGAGAGGAAGGAGGGAUGCGCUUGAAGCGUUAAGUUAAUUAAUUCAUUAAGCACAUUACUAUAUAUGACCUUCAUUACUAUCCCAAAUGAGGAAUAAUCUAAGAUGUGAAUUUCAUUCCUUCCUCAGUGACGUCAUACCCACAUUUCCCUUCUAAAUAAAUGGAGCAGAAGGAUCACACCGCACUGGAGAGUGGGCUGAUGGCUGAACCCAGCACCAAGAAGGUUAUUAAAGCAGAGCGCGGGGCGAAAUGGAAGGGAAUGAAUGAAGCUCCCAGUGGGUCAUUCGAGUUUAAUCAGACUGAUGAAGUUCUGGAAAGACAAGCUCAUUCAGCUUUAUCAUUAACUCAUCAGUCAGCCCAACAAGAGACAUUGCACUGACCAAAGCAAGUUCUUGCAUCAUGCUUUUAGUUAAAAACCCGACAGAUCCUGUGGAGUUCAGGCGACUUUAUACUGACCCAAGCCCGGAAAUGUCCCAGCAGACGGCGCUCGCGCUCCCCGAAUGAGCUCUGCGGGGGGACCGAACAUCAUUCACGGUACAACUCUAUUUGUGACAAGGGGAUUGAUAAGUUCUUUAGAAUUCCUGCAAUUAUAAAUAAUCAAGGAGAAAAAACAAGAGAGUUGUCCAUGGAGCGUAGAUGUCACUGACUGUCCAACAUAAACCGAGCUGAUCUCAGCGAUGAGAAAGCAAAAACCACACAAGUCUGCAGUGAACAUUUUAUCAACGGGAAACCAGCUGAUCUCGACAAUUUUACGGAUCCAGACUGGGCUCCGACACAAAAUACGGGCCACAACAAAAUCAAAGAUGGUACUAAAGUGGGAGCUCGAAAUGCGAGGCUUACAGAGCGCAGAAAGAAACGCAGAAUUAUUGAAGAAUCUUCCCAAACGAUCACAGAAUCAAUCGAACAAGAUUCACGUCAAUCCCCGACCUCAAAUCCUGCAGCCUCGUUGCCCGAAAUAUCCCUGGAAAAGAUGUCAUCCUGAAGGCAGCAUAUGUUGCUCCAAAAUCUCAAUGUACUUUUCUGCAUUACUGCUCCAUCACAGAAGUGUAAGUUACCUUUGCUAAGGACACUGACGCAACCCAUGACAGACCCUGGCUUUUGGACUUGUUGCUGGUAACAGUCAGGAUGGUCCUUUUUGUCUUUUGGAGCACACGGUGUCCAUUUCUUACAAAAAAGACCUGGAAUACUGAUUCAUCUGACCACACUUCUGACAACAUCUCUGGUUCAGGAGUGGCUUGAUAUUAGGAAUGCGACAGUUGUACCGGUAGCCCCUUUCCUGAAGAUGUCUGUGUGUGGUGGCUCUUGAUGCACUGACACCAGCCUCAGUCCACUCCUUGUGAAGCUCUCCCAAGUUCUUGAAUCAACUUUUCCUGACAAUCCUCUCAAGGCUGCAGUCAUCACUGUUGCUUGCACACCUUUUCCAGCCAGCCCUUUCAGCAAUGACCUUCUGAGGCUUACCCUCCUUGUUGAGGGUGUCAAUGAUCGUGUUCUGGACAACUGUCAAGUCAGCAGUCUUCGUCAUGAUUGUGGCUGUGUGUACUGAACUAGAUCAAGAGAUAC